AUAUAUUUAGUUUAAAAAAACAUUAAAUUGCAAAUUUAAAAUUAAUUAUAUUAUUUAAUAUAUA
rnacentral:tRNA from 1 species